rnacentral:rRNA from 1 species
GACGAACGCUGGCGGCGUGCCUAAUACAUGCAAGUAGAACGCUGAAGGAGGAGCUUGCUCUUCUGGAUGAGUUGCGAACGGGUGAGUAACGCGUAGGUAACCUGCCUGGUAGCGGGGGAUAACUAUUGGAAACGAUAGCUAAUACCGCAUAAGAGUAGAUGUUGCAUGACAUUUACUUAAAAGGUGCAAUUGCAUCACUACCAGAUGGACCUGCGUUGUAUUAGCUAGUUGGUGGGGUAACGGCUUACCAAGGCGACGAUACAUAGCCGACCUGAGAGGGUGAUCGGCCACACUGGGACGGAGACACGGCCCAGAAUCCUACGGGAGGCAGCAGUAGGGGAUCUUCGGCAAUGGACGGAAGUCUGACCGAGCAACGCCGCGUGAGUGAAGAAGGUUUUCGGAUCGUAAAGCUCUGUUGUAAGAGAAGAACGAGUGUGAGAGUGGAAAGUUCACACUGUGACGGUAUCUUACCAGAAAGGGACGGCUAACUACGUG